UGUGGUAUGGUGCAGUGGUUUGAGCAUUUGACUAUGACUCUGGAGACCAGGGUUCAAAUCCCCACUCAGCCA
rnacentral:tRNA from 1 species